CAAGCGGUGGAGCAUGUGGUUUAAUUCUAUGCAGCGCGAAGAACCUUACCUGGUCUUGACAUCCACGGAAUUUUUCAGAGAUGAGAAUGUGCCUUCGGUAACCGUGAGACAGGUGCUGCAUGGCUGUCGUCAACUCGUGUUGUGAAAUGUUGGGUUAAGUCCCGCAACGAGCGCAACCCUUAUCCUUUGUUGCCAGCGGUCCGGCCGGGAACUCAAAGGAGACUGCCAGUGAUAAACUGGAGGAAGGUGGGGAUGACGUCAAGUCAUCAUGGCCCUUACGACCGGGGCUACACACGUGCUACAAUGGCGCAUACAAAGAGAAGCGACCUCGCAAGAGCAAGCGGACCUCAUAAAGGGCGUCUUACUCCGGAUUGGACUCUGCAACUCAACUCCAUGAAGUCGGAAUCGCUAGUAAUCGUGGAUCAGAAUGCCACGGUGAAUACGUUCCCGGGCCUUGUACACACC
rnacentral:rRNA from 2 species